AUUAUACUACAGGUAUAUACAAUAACUGUACCAGCCAGGGUGUUAAAACUGGCUUGUCCAAAAAAUACUGUGGGUGAUGUGUGGCAACUUACAUGGUGCUUGAAAUGAAUUGUCACAUGCUGACAAUUCAGCAUCUUUUCAACAAAAAUUAUCGAAACAUAUGAAGUAGAUAAUGUAAACAGCAGCUGACAACUUUUGAGGUAUUCAAGAAAUAUCACAAAGCUUGCAAGUUGCUGUUUAAUAAAGAAAACAAUUUCUUAGGUCAUCCAUGGCCAUCUAGUUAAAAAGUGGCUGACGUCUAAUUUCAAGAGUGGCUGGUGCAAAAUGUACACUACUAUAACAAACAUAAUUUAAUUAUUAAUGUCAAUAAAUUUGAACAAAUAUGCUCAAGCAUUAAUUAAAUAUGAUACAGUUCAUGUAUGCAGGGAUGGAUCCAGCAUGAUCUGGUAGGGGGGUGCUCUGGUGCCGACUGCCAAAUUGUGUCGGUCAUGUGUGCCGCCCACCCAUCAACUGCUGUAUUUGAAUUGUAAUUGUUCACAGUUCACUUAUCAUGUUAUUACUCAAAUUAUUGUAUCUCAUUUUGUCUUUUUUGCUUUAUCAUAAAAAAUAGCACCCUCCUGCACCCCCUCUGGCCAGGGCUAGGGGGGUACACACCCCACACCCUCCCAGUAAAUCCAUCCCUGCAUGUAUGUGCACUUUCUAUAUUGUGCUCAGGUAUUUGGUGGAGCAUGUUGUUGGCCACGUUGAGGGAUCACAGCUCAAUUUGUAUUCACCAAUAACUUUCAGAAAGACAUCAUAAAGGAC